rnacentral:rRNA from 1 species
AGGACGAACGCUGGCGGCGUGCUUAACACAUGCAAGUCGAACGGUGAUCUCGGUGCUUGCACCGGGUGAUCAGUGGCGAACGGGUGAGUAACACGUGAGUAACCUGCCCCCGACUCUGGGAUAACCCCGGGAAAUCGGAGCUAAUACCGGAUACGAGACGCACAGGCAUCUGUAGCGUCUGGAAAGAUUUUAUCGACCGAAGGGAUGACGCCCGACGUAGGGAUUAGCUAGUUGGUGAGGUAAGCUCACCGAAGGCGACGA